UAGCGGGGGGGCGAAGCGUUGUUCGGAAUUACUGGGCGUAAAGGGCGCGUAGGCGGUUUGCUAAGUUGGAUGUGAAAACUCUGGGCUUAACCCAGAGCCUGCAUCCAAAACUGGCAAACUUGAGUACUGGAGGGGAAAGCGGAAUUCCUGGUGUAGCGGUGAAAUGCGUAGAUAUCAGGAGGAACACCGGUGGCGAAGGCGGCUUUCUGGACAGUAACUGACGCUGAGGCGCGAAAGCGUGGGGAGCAAACAGG
rnacentral:rRNA from 1 species